UUUUUAACGGCCGCGGUACCCUGACCGUGCAAAGGUAGCAUAAUCAUUUGCCUUAUAAUUGAAGGCUGGUAUGAAUGGUUUGACAAGAAUACGACUGUCUCUUUACAAUUUGGUAGAAUUUUAUGUUCAGGUGAAAAAGCCUUGAUUUAAUUAAAAGACAAGAAGACCCUAUCGAGCUUAAAAGAAAUUAGUGGGUAUUAAGAUUUUUAGUUUAAAAGUGUAACUAUUAAAUAUUUUGGUUGGGGCGACUGAGGAACAUGUAAAGCUUCCUUUUGUAAUUUUUAAUAUACAGAUUAUUGAUCCAUAGUUUAGUGAUUAAAGGAAUUAGUUACCGUAGGGAUAACAGCAUAAUCCUUUUUGAGAGUUCUAAUCGAAAAGGGGGUUUGUGACCUCGAUGUUGGACCAGAAUAUCCUAAAGAUGCAGAAGUCUUUGAGGGUUGGUCUGUUCGACCAUUAAAAUUCUA
rnacentral:rRNA from 1 species